rnacentral:miRNA from 14 species
GAGCGAGCGAGCGAGAGAGAGAGAGAGAGAGAGAGAGGGAGGGAUGGAGCUCACACACUCUGCCUCCCUGCCCCACAAACUAAAACCCUCUCUCACCUCCUCCUCCCUCACUCCCUCUUCUCUCUCUCGCUCUCUCUGGUUCCCA